rnacentral:rRNA from 1 species
GUUAGUGGCGCACGGGUGCGUAACGCGUGGGAAUCUGCCCUUUGCUUCGGAAUAACAGUUAGAAAUGACUGCUAAUACCGGAUGAUGUCUUCGGACCAAAGAUUUAUCGGCAAAGGAUGAGCCCGCGUAGGAUUAGGUAGUUGGUGGGGUAAAGGCCUACCAAGCCGACGAUCCUUAGCUGGUCUGAGAGGAUGAUCAGCCACACUGGGACUGAGACACGGCCCAGACUCCUACGGGAGGCAGCAGUGGGGAAUAUUGGACAAUGGGCGAAAGCCUGAUCCAGCAAUGCCGCGUGAGUGAUGAAGGCCUUAGGGUCGUAAAGCUCUUUUACCCGGGAUGAUAAUGACAGUACCGGGAGAAUAAGCCCCGGCUAACUCCGUGCCAGCAGCCGCGGUAAUACGGAGGGGGCUAGCGUUGUUCGGAAUUACUGGGCGUAAAGCGUACGUAGGCGGUUAUUCAAGUCAGAGGUGAAAGCCCGGGGCUCAACCCCGGAACGGCCUUUGAAACUAGGUAGCUAGAGUCUUGGAGAGGUCAGUGGAAUUCCGAGUGUAGAGGUGAAAUUCGUAGAUAUUCGGAAGAACACCAGUGGCGAAGGCGACUGACUGGACAAGUACUGACGCUGAGGUAC